CCUACGGGAGGCAGCAGUGGGGAAUUUUGGACAAUGGGGGAAACCCUGAUCCAGCAAUGCCGCGUGAGUGAAGAAGGCCUUCGGGUUGUAAAGCUCUUUUGUCAGGGAAGAAACACCGGCUCUAACACAGUCCGGGAAUGACGGUACCUGAAGAAUAAGCACCGGCUAACUACGUGCCAGCAGCCGCGGUAAUACGUAGGGUGCAAGCGUUAAUCGGAAUUACUGGGCGUAAAGCGUGCGCAGGCGGUUAUACAAGACAGGCGUGAAAUCCCCGGGCUUAACCUGGGAAUGGCGCCUGUGACUGUAUAGCUAGAGUGUGUCAGAGGGGGGUAGAAUUCCACGUGUAGCAGUGAAAUGCGUAGAUAUGUGGAGGAAUACCAAUGGCGAAGGCAGCCCCCUGGGAUAACACUGACGCUCAUGCACGAAAGCAUGGGGAGCAAACAGGAUUAGAUACCCUGGUAGUCCACGCCCUAAACGAUGCUGACUAGUUGUUCGGGAUUUACAUCCUGAGUAACGUAGCUAACGCGUGAAGUCAGCCGCCUGGGGAAUCGGUCGCAAGNUUAAAACCUCAAAGGAUUGACGGCUGGAGAGAGCGAGACGACGACGAGGGAGGAGG
rnacentral:rRNA from 1 species